GUUGAAAGUUGAUUGUCAUUGGAGGUUGCCAGCAAGGGGUGACAAAGUUCUCCAGUGGACUUGAAGCCUUUGCCCCAGGACUGGAUUCGUCUCUAUAAGAGGAUGCUCACAACUCCGCCCAUAGGCCUGUGGUGCGGCUCCCACUUGGAAGGAAAGAAGUUGAGACUCUCACAGGUUGGGUGUCUAAGAUUCUACCGCCUGCCAGUGGAAAGCUGAGACCAGCCCCCAUGCUCUCUGGAAAUGGAGAGAAAAAGCAGAGGGAAGAGCAAACGUUCAAGAAGGCAUGCCGCCAUUUGAUUCUGUUGCCCAUUUUGUCCUCACCCCUCCUUCUAGACUUAGACACUGUUGUACAAACCAAGAUGUGGUUCUCCAUCUUCUGAGCACCUGGACAGUACAAGAUGUCGAUUUCAUUGGCAUCUUUAAGCAGCUCUGAGUGAUCCAUCUGGAC